rnacentral:rRNA from 1 species
UACGUAGGGGGCGAGCGUUGUCCGGAAUUAUUGGGCGUAAAGCGGGUGUAGGCGGGCUUAUAAGUCAGGUGUGAAAUCCCAGGGCUCAACCCUGGAAGUGCACUUGAUACUGUAAGUCUUGAAUGUGGUAGAGGUUACUGGAAUUCCUGGUGUAGUGGUGAAAUACGUAGAUAUCAGGAGGAACACCGGAGGCGAAGGCGGGUAACUGGGCCAGCAUUGACGCUGAGACCCGAAAGCGUGGGGAUCAAACAGG